rnacentral:antisense_RNA from 1 species
CUUCACCGACCCCAGCCACAGCGGCCGGUCCGCCGGGCGCUCCUGCCCGUAGGUCGCCAGCAGGGCCUGCGCCUC